rnacentral:rRNA from 1 species
GACGAACGCUGGCGGCGUGCUUAGCACAUGCAAGUCGAACGGAAAGGCCCUGCUUUUGUGGGGUGCUCGAGUGGCGAACGGGUGAGUAACACGUGAGUAACCUGCCCUUGACUUUGGGAUAACUUCAGGAAACUGGGGCUAAUACCGGAUAGGAGCUCCUGCUGCAUGGUGGGGGCUGGAAAGUUUCGGCGGUUGGGGAUGGACUCGCGGCUUAUCAGCUUGCUGGUGGGGUAGUGGCUUACCAAGGCUUUGACGGGUAGCCGGCCUGAGAGGGUGACCGGCCACAUUGGGACUGAGAUACGGCCCAGACUCCUACGGGAGGCAGCAGUGGGGAAUAUUGCACAAUGGGCGGAAGCCUGAUGCAGCAACGCCGCGUGCGGGAUGACGGCCUUCGGGUUGUAAACCGCUUUCGCCUGUGACGAAGCGUGAGUGACGGUAAUGGGUAAAGAAGCACCGGCUAACUACGUG